AGGAGAGUUUGAUCAUGGCUCAGAUUGAACGCUGGCGGCAGGCUUAACACAUGCAAGUCGAGCGGAAACGAUGAUAGCUUGCUAUCAGGCGUCGAGCGGCGGACGGGUGAGUAAUGCUUGGGAAUAUGCCUUUUGGUGGGGGACAACAGUUGGAAACGACUGCUAAUACCGCAUAAUGUCUGAGGACCAAAGCGGGGGACCUUCGGGCCUCGUGCCAAAAGAUUAGCCCAAGUGAGAUUAGCUAGUUGGUGGGGUAAAGGCCUACCAAGGCGACGAUCUCUAGCUGGUUUGAGAGGAUGAUCAGCCACACUGGGACUGAGACACGGCCCAGACUCCUACGGGAGGCAGCAGUGGGGAAUAUUGCACAAUGGGGGAAACCCUGAUGCAGCCAUGCCGCGUGUGUGAAGAAGGCCUUCGGGUUGUAAAGCACUUUCAGUGGGGAGGAAAGGAUAUAAGUUAAUACCUUAUAUCUGUGACGUUACCCACAGAAGAAGCACCGGCUAACUCCGUGCCAGCAGCCGCGGUAAUACGGAGGGUGCGAGCGUUAAUCGGAAUUACUGGGCGUAAAGCG
rnacentral:rRNA from 1 species